rnacentral:rRNA from 1 species
UCGUCUCCUCGUUCCCCUUUGUUGUCUAGGGUCGCCGCCCGCCGCCGCCGCCGCCGGCCAAGCUACCCUUUACCAAGUCCCGCACCGCCACACCCAAACUUUAGUAAGCGACCGACAAACAGGCAUGUCGACGGAGAGGAUCCGCCCCGAGUUGCUAUCUGUGUGCUACAUCCGACCAACUAUCGUCAUGUUAUUCGGGAUUUGAAGAACUACGUCCUUGAGGGAGACUUUCCAGGACGAAAUCAAGCAAACCUGCAGGUGGAGCAAUACCAAGACCCUCCUUGUGAUGCUGGAUUCAGGAAUGGUCAACAUGUUGAUCACACCACUAUUCCAGCUUCUAACAGUGAGAGGGACAUUCUGGGAGCAAAUCAAGCAGACCAGAUGGCAGUGCAACACGAGGGACAUUAUUUAGACAAGUUAUGGCCAGCCAUCAAUUCGUUCCUCCCAGGAAGCCCCACCACCACAGGCAUUUUUGGAUGGUCUUUGUCAGUUUCUAUUUUCAGAAGAGCCUGA